GUUUACUAACGUACCACCUUGAAUGCACCCAUCUUGUCUGAUCUCAGAAGCUAGGCAGUAUCAGGCCUGGUUAGUACUUGGGUGGGAGAAAACAACAAAGAAAAUGACAAGAGUAAAUC
rnacentral:rRNA from 1 species